rnacentral:rRNA from 1 species
AUUGAACGCUGGCGGCAGGCCUAACACAUGCAAGUCGAGCGGUAGAGAGGUGCUUGCAUCUCUUGAGAGCGGCGGACGGGUGAGUAAUGCCUAGGAAUCUGCCUAGUGGUGGGGGGAUAACGUUCGGAAACGGACGCUAAUACCGCAUACGUCCUACGGGAGAAAGCGGGGGAUCUUCGGACCUCGCGCCAUUAGAUGAGCCUAGGUCGGAUUAGCUAGUUGGUGAGGUAAUGGCUCACCAAGGCGACGAUCCGUAACUGGGUCUGAGAGGAUGAUCAGUCACACUGGAACUGAGACACGGUCCAGACUCCUACGGGAGGCAGCAGUGGGGAAUUUUGGACAAUGGGCGCAAGCCUGAUCCAGCAAUGCCGCGUGCAGGAUGAAGGCCUUCGGGUUGUAAACUGCUUUUGUACGGAACGAAACGGUGAGCUCUAAUACAGUUUGCUAAUGACGGUACCGUAAGAAUAAGCACCGGCUAACUACGUG